CGGAAAUCAUGUCUCAUAGGUCACAGCAGGUUGUCAGUCAAACUGGUCUGCUGUUAACUGUUUCAUUGCUGAAACACACACUUGCAAAACAGCAGAAACACUUUAUUUACAUUUCAUAUACACACAACCAAAAUCCAACAGGACAUUCUGGUUUCAUGACCAUGAUGAGUCCAGGUGCUUCUAUAGAAGCCCAAGGAUGGAUUCAGGAGAUCAGUUGACAUGACAGAAAGUGUGUUAUAUGGAACUUUCAGUCAUACAGUUAAAUGCCACAUUGAAAUAUAUUAAUUUUCCAACCAUCUGGGAGAGCUGUCAUGUGGGCUUAGUUAUCUUAUAGAUGAGAUCUGUCCUUUUCCCCUCCUCUUAUCACAGGCAUAGCAUGGUAAGCUUCUCAUCACCUAAAAACUGCUUCUCUAACUCCACCUCUCAAGCAGAGAAGCUGGUCACCUGAAAUAUCAUCUGUGAUAAAGGAACAUGCCAAACUGUGCUAUUCCCCCCUGUUUAAAAAACACAUCAUACCCAUGCUAUAUUAGGUUCAUCCAUCUGUCCUCCAAUUAUUAAGACAUUUAGAAAAGCUAUAGGUAACUCAGAAGUGUUAUAUGCUUUCAGAAUACCAUGCAAAUCAACUGAAAGAAGAUUUAAGCAACAGGAAAUGAACCUCAUUAGUAAUUAAUAUCAAGAGUAACUUCAUGAGUAAUUAACCUUGAGAGGGAGCACCUAUCUCCCCAGGGUGCUCAGGCAAAUCUGGUUACUUCCACUACAUUUCGGCAGAAGGCCAGUUGAAAGAGGUACUAAUGAGUGAACUUUUCUUGGCAAAAUUCAGAUUUAGCUCUACACGUAUGUUAGGGCAUCUCUCAGAGAACUCAUAGAAAGUUUCAUUCAUUCAAGAUAGUAAAAUAUAUAGUCGUGUAUACGUAGAAAAAAUGACAUAAAGUCAAUUAAAAAACCUGGGUUGACAUACAUGGGCCAAUGCUGGAAACAGAUGACAAAACAAAAACUCUGCUUCAAUGAGCUCUGCGCGUCCUGCUAUUUGGGGCACUUAGGGUGGAGUUGAGGUCAUUUUAAUAGGGGAUUAUAGAAAAAACUUGAGAAGAUUAGUGGUCAUUUAAAUAUGGGAUUGACUGUAUAAACUUUGUGAAGCUGGUAGCCAUUUUUAAUGGGGUCUUACUGUAUAAACUUAUAUAAGCUCAACCAUGGGUCACAUUGGUUGGUAGGGUGGGAACUGGAAUACAAUAGCCUGGAGGCAUUCAAAAUCAAUAUAAAAUUGGGGGGUAGUCAGAUCUCAGACAUAGAGCUGUGUAAUAGUUGUUUGUUUCAACCUGCCUGAAUGUGCCCCAUGGAGCUGAACUACAAUGAAUGGACAUGGAUUUAUCCUUCCUUGGGUAUGUCACUGUCAUGUAAGAGGAUGACAGUGAUUAAAACUAAUUUGCUCCAAAAAUUAUUACUACAUGUAACAAACAAUGUCUAGGGAAUCUGGGGAAAAAAUAAGCAACAUGGUUGGCUUUGUAAGAAAAAUGCGAACAUAUUGGGUUGAGAAUUUUAGAGUUUGUUUGACCCACUGAGAAUUUUUUAUAUGUUGCUCAUGGAAAAGACAGUGCUGCCUUAGGAAGUGGUCAGAAGUUUUCUCCCCAUAUUUUAAGAGCCAUUUUGCUAUGUCUCAGGAUGUAUCUGUUGAAGCAAAAGAAAUGCACUGGAGGAAAUUAUAGGGUUCUGGGUUGUGUUAUUUUGUGUCACAGGGUCCACAUUAAAAAAGUAAAACAUUUUAAAGCCAUUUCAAUUAAGAAUUAAAAGGCAAUAUUACUCCAACAUGACUUUUUUAUAGUUUCAAAAGCAACUUGAGAACAUAUUGCAAGUUGAUUCUGGUGUGAGAGAAUUGGCAGUCUUCAGAGAUGUUGCCCACAUGUGUUACUAUCCUGCUGGGAGAUUUCUCUCAUGUCCUCUCCAAAAUAACUAAGAUGUUAUGUCACAAGUGACUAACAUAAGAAAGUUCCUUCCCCCAUCCCCAAGUCAAUGUACAGUUGGGAUAAAGGAGGAAAUGCCAGUCUUUCAGUUAGUAGUUUCAAUCUUUGAUCAAAGAUGAAGGCUCAGAAUUUGCUCAAGGGUAAAUGUUUUCAUAAACUUAGGCUGGAUCUACACUGCCCUAUAUCCCAGGAUCUGAUUCCAAAUUAUCUGCUUUGAACUGGAUUAUAUGAGUCCCCACUGCCAUAUAAUCUGGGAUAAGCAGAUAAUCUAGGAUCAGAUCCUGGGAUAUAGAACAGUGUAGAAAGGGUUGUUGUAUGUCUUUCGGGCUGUGUGGCCAUGUUCCAGAAGUAUUCUCUCCUGACGUUUCGCCCACAUCUAUGGUAGGCAUCCUCAGAGGUUGUGAGGUAUGGAUAAACUAAGUAAGGAAAGGAAAGAAUAUAUAUCUGUGUAGAGUCCAGGGUGUGGCAAGAGUCCUUUGUCACUGGGAGCCAGCAUUAAUGUUUCAGUUAAUCACCCUAAUUAGCAUUGGAAAUGUUUUGUCUCUUGCCUGGGGGCAUCCUUUGUUCAGUCAAGCCCUCAGAGUUUUGGUUCCCAUCUACUGUUUUGAUUUUGGAGUUUUGUAAUACUGGUAGCCAGAUUUUGUUCAUUUUCAUGGUUUCCUCCUUUCUGUUGAAAUUGUCCACAUGCUUGUGGAUUUCAAUGGCUUCUCUGUGUAGUCUGACAUGAUAGUUGUUGGAAUGGUCCAGCAUUUUUGUGUUCUCAAAUAAUAUCCUGUGUCCAGGCUGGUUCAUCAAAUGCUCUGCUAUGGCUGGUUUCUCUGGUUGAAUUAGUCUGCAGUGCCUUUCAUGUUCUUUGACUCUUGUUUGUGGACAAGUCUACAUAGGGACCACCAAAUGCAGUGCCCAAACAAGAGUUUCGCCCACAUCUAUGGCAGACAUCCUCAGAUCAUCCUCGUCAGGGAGAAACGUCAGGAGAGAAUACUUCUGGAAUAUGGCCACACAGCCCGAAAGACAUACAACAACCCUGUGAACCCGGCCAUGAAAGCCUUCGACAACACAGUGUAGAAAGGGCCUAAGCUUAGCUAAGAGCUCUACAUCGCAGGUAUGAUCUCUCUGCAACUUCCACUUCCACCAGUACCAUGCUGUAUAAAAAUAUUAAGUGAGAUUGCUUUUGUAUUAGAAAUUUAUUAUAUUAUUAGAAAUUUCAUCUUUUGUUAAAUUUUGCUUAGGAUCUUUUAGUAAAUUAUUAUCAUUUGUAUUAUGUAACAUAGAGGGUUCUGAAAAUCCCACUGAUAGGGAAAACUGGGAGUGCAAAAUAAUCCAGAAUCUCUGUAUGGGCUAUUUUUGCUUAUAUAAAGAAUAUUUUCCACAUUUUGUUGUUAAAGGGAGGAGGAAAAGAUAAAACUGCUAGCCUAUCUUUCUAGAAGUUCCAUUUUUAUCUUGCUUUACAUAUUACAAAAUCUUUAAAUACAAAAAACAUCUAAGUAGGAAUUAGUGUGAAAAUCAAUGGAGAUGGUUAUAUGUGACAAUAAUAAACCUACGUUAGUCCUUGAAAAUAAAGAGCAAAUAGGCAUUCAAGAAAGACACUCCACUGUAGUUGUGUGUGCAUGUAAACCUAAAGAGAAAGAGACCUAAACGGUUAACUUUAAAAUAAGAAGUCUUCAUUGGAUUGUCAUGGGUUGUUGUUGUUGUUGUUGUUGUUGUUGUUGUUGUCUCUCCAUGGGGACUCAAAGUGGUUAUCACUCCACACUAGACAAGUUUAAAAGGUGCAAAACAAAAGUUAAAGGAUUGGUCAUCAAAUGGGACUCUUUGACAGAAUUAAAUAGAGAAUGCACUAUGUUAGUUCCUCAGAUACUGUGGAAGUUUGACCACUAUUUUUCACACCACAAAGAUAUGUGAUCAUCAAAAUGAAAAAUAUGUAAUUGUUUUCAGAUUGGGUCCUCCAGUCCUUUACUUCUUGGCAAAGUGUAAUUAUUUUCUUCCUUGAUUUUUUUUAUUCCUUAUUUCAGAAUUCCCCUAAUGUAAGCAGGAUUUGAAUUUUAAAAAGAUGUUCAGUGAGUGCUGCCCAGAAACCAGUGUAGAAAGAUCUAGGUUUUGUCUUAAAGCCGAAUACUGGCAAGGGACUACUCCUGCUGGUGGUUCGGAUGAUACUUUUGCACCAAGCCCAGGGAGGGGUGAGAGGAUGGCCCAUCUGGAAAGAUCAAUACUUAUGUACAAAGGGAUGGAACAGGAGCUUGAGAAAGGAUACUUUGUUUCUUUCCUUCAUCCUGGUAGACCCACACUGAAAACAGGGACUUAGUAAGAUUGCCAGUACAUAUUUUGCUCUGCAAAUCCUCCAUUUUAAUAAAUCACAUUAUUGCCCCUUUAAAUUCAAAUUUCUGCCUCUUCUUUGUUAUUUAUGGGAGCAAGGGACAAAGCAAUAAGAAAGGACAAAGCAAUAAUAAACAUGUAGAUAUUUGCAAAGUACAAUUUUCAAGAGAUCCCACAGAUUUAACUGACUUCUAUAAUACGAGUAACCUAAUGUCAGAUUGGCUGCUUUUUGCUUCAGAAUGGUCACUUACAUUUAAUUAUAAUGAACAUUUAAUUUUAACUGAAUAAUAGAAGAGUUGGUUCAAAUUUGGAAAAGAGUUUGUCUUCUAAGUCCACUAAUUUUUUUUAGAUUGCGUGAUCAGCAGAAUAUUUCAUAAACGUAGAAGGAAAAUACUGGUAACAGAAUGAACUCUAGUAAGUCUACUAUGUAUACAUGAACCUUGGCUAAAUUUUCAAGGAGCAGAAUAGCCAUAUUGGUUUGCUGUAGCAAAAACAGCAAAGAUUCUCAUAGCAUGUUUAAGCCAAAUAUAUGUCCUUUGGCUUAAGUUUUUAUGGACUCUACCAGUAUCCACAAGAUCAGGGGAGAGACUCAUACAAUCAUCCAGAAUGUGCUGAACUAUUGCUCCCAGCAUUCAUCACCAAUUGGCUGCCCAGCUUUGGAUGCUAUGAAUUGAAGGGCAAAAUCAUUCUGACUUUUGCAUUGGAGAUUUGAGCUAGCAGAGAAUAAGCAGAUGUCUAUACAGGGUCUAGUUUUAUAUCAAGGAAUCUUUGAUAGUUUCAAUACUGUCAGGGGUGAUGAAGAUUUACUCAUCUAGAUGUUUUAGGCUACAACUCUCCCAGGUCCAUACCAUUGGCUUUCCCUGCUAGGAUGUCUGGAAGUUGCAGUCUCAAACAUCUGAUAGUCCAACGAUUCUCCACUUUGGUCAACUGCGCUGCUCGAGAUACAUUUUUUCCUGGAACUAACUAGAAAUGCUGGUGAUAGAUACAAUGUGAUGUGUUUCCUCUCAGAAAAGAGGAAACCUCAGAUGUUGCUGAGCUACAACCCGCAAAGUCCCUGUAGCAAGGACAUAUGGAAGUUGAAGUCAUCCCCUUCCCCCCAAAUUCUGGAAAACCACAGAGUCUAUUCCAUGGCUUUCCCUUUCUGCCUAAGCUUUAUGGUUCAAAAUGCGAGCAGAUUUUUCCUUGGAAAUAAGCUGGACCUUACCUUGCUUCAUGAAUCACACAUUUUGAUGUGCAUCUUUAUGAGCUGCCCUUCCAUAUUAUGGGGCUGUUAAUCCUACAUAUCAACAUGCAGUCAGGGGCUGGACGGAGCUUUUGUUGUCUUCUAACAUCCUAAGACUCUUCUAAUCAAAGCUGCAGCUAUAGUAUUGGCUCUUAUGACCACCUAGAGAACCUUUGCAGCUACAUUAAAUGCAUUUUUCACUAAGUAGAUUAAUAUGUUGUAAGUCCCUUGCUGCAAUAAACAAAUGGUUAGAACAUUAAACUGAACUAAUUUAAUGAUACUGUAAAUAUAACAGACUCUUAACUCAUAGUAUAAAAGUUGGUAUAGACUUUCAGCAAAGCAGUGGUUGGAAGAAAGCCUUUAUAUAUCUAGCUCAAGAAUACUUAGAUCUAUUUUGUGAGUACACAGUAAAUGAUGUUUUAUUGAAAAUAACCCACAAUGUUUUUUUCCCCUGGUCCAUCAUGAGCAACAGACCAAUGAAUUAGAAUAUUAUUUGUGAUCCUACCAAGCAGGGACACUGGCUACGAUGCUUUCAAAAAUGGUAAAAACAUAGACAAACAAUGGACUUGGUAGAAUGGACACACUGAGAUCAUGAAAUAUUUAACAAUAUUUUUCUGUAUAUGGGUGUAACAAUCUAACAAUAAAAUACAUGCAUGUAAAAUUCUCAGCUGAAAUGGGGCACAUCUGUUUCCUGAUUUUUCCACACACAUAAUUUAUCAGAAGAAGUUAUCAAAAAACAAAUGAAGAAAAAACCAAAAACAUACUUUGCCAUUUAGACUGAAACCGAAGUGUGGGCAUCAUACUGAAGUACAAGUAUUAUUUGAAACAAUUAUUAUGGAUCAAUUCAGGUACUUUGGUGACAACAGCCAAUUCACAAAAGUUUUUGCAUACAUAGAUAACUUUUUUUUGCAUAUUCCUUCAGUAUUACAAUUAAUUUCUUCACACUCAUUCACUAGGUUGCACAAACCCAGGCAUCAGUUUGAUACAGGGAUAUUAAUCAAUAAGGUAGAAGUUUGGAUUCAGAUAGAAGAGAGUUAUCAUGUAGGAUCUUGGAGGGAUUACUUGGAAUCACAGAGGAAGGCAAAAGUUGUAAUGUCCUGUUUUACCAUACUACCCUUCUCCUCAAAUGAGAAAUUUGGAGCUUCGGGACAUUGAUGUUUCAUAUUUUUGCAGUUGCCAUUGAAUUCUCCAUCAUCUGUAUCUAAACUUUAAUGAAAUACCAAGAUUCAAUGUUCUUAUUCUGAAUGAGACUUCACACUUUGUCAACACAUCAUCAUCCAGUCUAGAUAAGAUGGGUUGUCACACAUUCUUCCAAAUGGGUACAACUGGGUGCUUGACACUAAAGCAAAGGUAUAGUGGGUAAAGGAAGGAGGGGAAGAUGUGUAGACAGCAGCAACUGAUGACUAACACUGUGAUUUGGGCACUAUUGACUAACAGCUAUUUGCUUUUCCUGUUUCUUUUGCAUGUAUGGAACUUAUUUUAAUAACAGAUUGGGAACACAAUCUUAGAGAUCCAUGUGUAAGUAAGCCCCAUUGAACUGAGAGACAUUUCCUCCUGGAGAAAGCUGUAAAACAGGUGUAGACAAUUGUAACCAGAUGUUUUGGGACUGUAAGAUCCAUCAGUCUUCUUCAGUGCAAUCCAUGAUGCACCAUGCCGGCAGUUGGAGUCCAAGGUCUAAAGUGGCACAGUUGCUCUUUCCUAGCUUACAGGAGUGUACUCUAAAAUUCUCAGCUACAAAUAUAUGUUGCUAGCUUUUCAAUACAUUUAUAUUUCAUGUGCCAUUUAAUUGCUAUUGCUCAUUUUGGUAAGUUGAAAACACUAAUUACAGCAUUGGCUGUUGUUAUAUCUGCACACAUAGAGAAUUUUAAGAAACAAAACAAUACCUGGAACAUCAGUGAAGGUCUCCCCAAGGACAGACACAUGAAAACGUAAUUCCAUCUCUUUCAUUUUCAGCAGCACUUGAAAGAAACUUUCUGGAUCUUUAUCAUGUUCCCUUGAAAUAAAAUAAAGCGUACUUUGA